rnacentral:rRNA from 1 species
CUACGGGAGGCAGCAGUGAGGAAUAUUGGUCAAUGGAGGCAACUCUGAACCAGCCAUGCCGCGUGAAGGAUGACGGCCCUAUGGGUUGUAAACUUCUUUUCUACGAGAAUAAACCCCAGGACGUGUCCUGGGCUGAAGGUACCGUAGGAAUAAGGAUCGGCUAACUCCGUGCCAGCAGCCGCGGUAAUACGGAGGAUCCAAGCGUUAUCCGGAUUCAUUGGGUUUAAAGGGUGCGUAGGCGGAACGGUAAGUCAAGGGUGAAAGCCAGCAGCUCAACUGUUGAACUGCCUUUGAUACUGUCGUUCUUGAAUAUGGUUGAAGUGGGCGGAAUGUGACAUGUAGCGGUGAAAUGCUUAGAUAUGUCACAGAACACCGAUCGCGAAGGCAGCUCACUAAGCCAUCAUUGACGCUGAUGCACGAAAGCAUGGGGAGCAAACAGGAUUAGAAACCCUAGUAGCC